CCAGGCAAGAAUAAACUACAGUUUUCUAUCUAAAACCAAACAACGAAACUAAUUCCACCUCUAGUUAGUCAAUACAUAACUCAUGGAGACUACUGGGAUAGACAUGCAAGCAGGAACUCAUUAAUACUUGCUGCAAAUUGAUUCACAAUACUGGAUUCAAACCGUUCACUUAACUCGAGAGUUCUAAGAGGCACGUUGAGUUUUAACUACUGGAAAUUCAAUAUUACACUAACACUGCCCAUUUUAAAAGAAUAACGUUCAGAUCUACAGUCCUAUAAUACAAUUCAUACAAUUCAAUACAACUAAUAAUCUAUCAUAAACGAAAUCCAUCUAGAGUAUAAUAGGGACCAACAGGGGAACAAAGUUGUAACAUGGAUCCAAUUCAUUCCGGGCUUGAGUCUCAAAAUUACAUCAACUUGGAAUUCGAUUGUGUACCUGGAAUUUUGGAGUGAAGAAGAACAGAAUCAGUUAGCAGCAAGCAACACGAGCAGAAACCAACCAGACUAAUACCCACAGAGAAUUUUUUAUUUUUUUUUUUGAAAUCAAAUCACGCCCAAGCCAAACCCAACACCAAUUACUUGAACACACUUGAAUUCAAUCACAGCUGAAUGACCAGCAAUCACCAACACAAACUCAAAUCUCCCUGAUGCUGCUAACACACGUAUAAGACACAGAAGAAGGCACCCAAAACAGAAUCUGAAACUAGACUGAAGUAAUGCUGAUGAAACAGUGAAAUUUCUUUGAUUUUUCUAUUUUUUGAUGUUAUUGUAUUUUUGUAUAUUUGAAUUUAAACACUAAUCUGGAAUUUUUGAGAAAAGGGAAAACAAGCUUUUUGUAGGAAUUUUUUUUUUGGCUGAAAAAGAAGCCCCUUCCCCAAGGCAUUUGGAUGUCCUUUUAUAGGCAACAAGGAGGGGAUAAAUCAGAUUUUUUUAUUUCUUUUUAGUCCUUUUCUAUUUUCAGUUUGGUCCCUUUAUUUUUGACUUGCUAAACAAGCAAAUACCUCUAUUGUGCUAAAAUCUACACUAAAGUACCCUUCUAGAAGGCCCUAUGAUGCUUUUCUACCCAAAAAAUACCUAUACUAUCCUUACCCCUACUUUGAAAUUACUAUUCUUAAAGAAACUACCCUUUUCUAUGCCUAAAAUGCCCUUCUACUAGUCUGAAAUUUACAGAUUAAUGUUAUCAUGAUCCCAACCCCUUCAUAUUAGCUAAAAUUUACCUAAAACUAACUAUUAUGUGAAUUAUUCAGCUGACCCAAACAACCUAUCCUAAACAAUGCAUUAAUUAACACCAAUAUCGAUUGAACAAAUAACCAACUGAUAAGGCUUUAACAAAAGCAUAAACUGAAGUUAAACUAAGUCAAAUUCCAAAUCUAAUUUCACAUGAACAGAACAAAAAGAAAGCUUAACGACCAAUUGUCAUUUGAGCAUUCAAAAUCAAAACAGAAUUUAAACAAAAGAAAGAAACAAAAAAAAAUGAAAAUUAACCUAAAAGAUUAUCCUAAACUUCCAUAUCAAUCAGAGACGAACUUAAACUAGUAUAAUUAAAAUGAUGCUUGAUCGAAUAGACAGAACAAUGAAUUGAACUAAAGAAAAGAAGGAGAGAAAACUUACUGAAGUUUAGCUUCCAAAAGAAAAAAUCUUCGAAAUUAACUUCAAGUUAAUAUUAUACAUCCAUUUCAUACGAAAUAGACCUAUAAUAUUUACCUGAGGUCACUCGACUUGAAAAACCCUCCAAACAACCCAAAACAGCGAGAACCUCGGAUUCAAAAAUUCGUCCAGUUCCGGUGGUAUUUGACAGAAACUAAUGAGAUAUUAGGGAUGAGGGAGGUCAAGGGAAGGCAUGGUGUGAAUUUGGGCCGGUUUAGGUGAAUUUGCGACUUGGCUGGAAACUUCAAUCGGAGAUUCGACGAGCUCCGGCAAUAUUCGAGGGAAACCAAUGGUAGGAAUGGAAAGAGGGAUUCAUGGGAAAUCUAUGGUGUUAAUUUGGGGCUUUUGGCAAGGAAGUCGUUUGCCGGCGGCGAGGUUCCGGCGGGGCUGGAGAUUGGUACGAGGAAGAAGGUCUG
rnacentral:lncRNA from 1 species